rnacentral:lncRNA from 1 species
UUGCUCCGUAGCAACAUCCCCAAUCCGAAUUUGGACAUCUGGACAAGCUCCAUAUAAUUCGCCUCGUGUGUUAUUAGCUGCUCGUAUUGCCCAUCCAUGUUCCAUAUCAAUUGGCCAUUUUUGCUUCUUAUAAAGAUCUUUAGACAUGAGAUUUAUUUCAGAACCAUGGUCGACCAAAGCAACUAUUGGUUCUUCUAUAUCUCCUACCUUCACCAAUACCUCAGUAGUUGCCCUUGCCCAAUGCUUUCGAGUAUAAUGGCUCAAAGUUUCCAUUCCCUUGUCACUAGAAUCUUCAAAACGUACUCGCUGAUUAUACCCAUUCUUUUCAUUUGUUGGUUGCUUGUAACUAAUAUCA